GGCUCAGGACGAACGCUGGCGGCGUGCCUAACACAUGCAAGUCAGGGAGAAAAGGAUAGCAAUAUCCUGAGUAAACCGGCGAACGGGUGAGUAACACGUAGGCAACUUACCUUGUGAACGGGAAUAACUCCGCGAAAGCGGAGCUAAUACCCGAUAUCGUCUCGAAACGACAUCGUUUUGAGAUAAAAGGCCCCAAAAGGGUGUCACAAGAUGGGCCUGCGUCCCAUUAGAUAGUUGGCGGGGUAAUGGCCCACCAAGUCGACGAUGGGUAGCUGGUCUGAGAGGACGACCAGCCACACUGGAACUGAGACACGGUCCAGACUUCUACGGAAGGCAGCAGUGAGGAAUAUUGCUCAAUGGGCGAAAGCCUGAAGCAGCGACGCCGCGUGAGGGAUGAAAUCCGUUAGGAUGUAAACCUCUUUUACAGGGGAUGAAUGUCCCGAUUAUCGGGAUUGACCGUACCCUGUGAAUAAGCACCGGCCAACUACGUGCCAGCAGCCGCGGUAACACGCAGGGUGCAAGCGUUGUCCAGAAUUACUGGGUGUAAAGGGUCCGCAGGCGGGCAAGCAAGUCGGUGGUGAAAGUCUUUGGCUCAACCAAAGAACUGCCUUCGAUACUGCUUGUCUUGAGUUCGAGAGAGGAUAAUGGAAUUCAUGGUGUAGCGGUGAAAUGCGUAGAGAUCAUGAAGAACACCAGUAGCGAAGGCGGUUAUCUGGCUCGAUACUGACGCUCAGGGACGAAAGCGUGGGUAGCAAACAGGAUUAGAUACCCUGGUAGUCCACGUCUUAAACGAUGGAUGUUCGGUGUCGGUCCGCAAGGAUCGGUGCCUGAGCCAACGCGUUAAACAUCCCACCUGGGAAGUACGAUCGCAAGGUUGAAACUCAAAU
rnacentral:rRNA from 1 species